UACGAAGGGGGCUAGCGUUGUUCGGAAUCACUGGGCGUAAAGGGCGCGUAGGCGGCCUUAUAAGUCGGGGGUGAAAGCCUGUGGCUCAACCACAGAAUUGCCUUCGAUACUGUAGAGCUUGAGUCCGGAAGAGGUAAGUGGAACUGCGAGUGUAGAGGUGAAAUUCGUAGAUAUUCGCAAGAACACCAGUGGCGAAGGCGGCUUACUGGUCCGGUUCUGACGCUGAGGCGCGAAAGCGUGGGGAGCAAACAGG
rnacentral:rRNA from 1 species